AUGGCGGCGUCGGCAUUCUGGUGCUUUGUGUCUUCCAGCCUGCGGAGCUUCGGUGGGGGUGGGCAGUGGGUGGAGGGGGAGCUGCUGCAGGACCAGAGAUUUCUCGAUUUUGUGGAACAGAGCCCCCAGAAGAGCUGGCACCGGCGUCAUCCGCCAUUUCGUCGCCACCCGCCCUACCACCAGCAGCACCACCAGGGACCCCGCCCGGCGGGCCCGCGGCCGCAGCGAGGAGAAGAUCUCCGGCUCGGAGGGAUUUAAAGCCAACUUAUCUCUACUGCGGAGGCCGGGAGAGAAAACUUACACUCAGCGUUGCCGGUUGUUUGUUGGGAAUCUGCCUGCAGAUAUCACGGAGGAUGAAUUUAAAAGACUGUUUGCUAAAUAUGGAGAACCGGGAGAGGUUUUUAUCAAUAAAGGCAAAGGAUUCAGAUUUAUUAAGCUUGAAUCUAGAGCCUUGGCUGCAAUUGCCGAAGCUGAACUUGAUGAUACGCCCAUGAGGGGCAGACAGCUGCGAGUUCGUUUUGCGACACAUGCUGCUGCCCUGUCCGUAAUCUUUCACCUUAUGUUUCCAGUGAACUGUUGGAAGAAGCCUUUAGCCAGUUUGGUCCUAUAGAAAGGGCGGUUGUAAUUGUGGAUGAUCGAGGAAGAUCUACAGGGAAAGGCAUAGUUGAAUUUGCUUCUAAACCAGCGGCAAGAAAAGCAUUUGAAAGAUGCAGUGAAGGUGUUUUCCUAUUGACAACAACGCCUGGGCCAGUCAUUGUGGAACCACUUGAACAAUUGGAUGAUGGAGAUGGUCUUCCUGAAAAACUUGCCCAGAAGAAUCCAAUGUAUCAAAAGGAGAGGGAACACCACCUCGUUUUGCUCAACAUGGCCCAUUUGAGUAUGAAUAUUCUCAGCGAUGGAAAUCUUUGGAUGAAAUGGAGAAACAGCAAAGGGAACAAGUUGAAAAAAACAUGAAGGAUGCAAAAGACAAGUUGGAAAGUGAAAUGGAAGAUGCCUAUCAUGAGCAUCAGGCAAAUCUUUUGCGCCAAGAUCUGAUGAGACGCCAGGAAGAAUUAAGACGUAUGGAAGAACUUCAUAAUCAAGAAAUGCAGAAACGCAAAGAAAUGCAAUUGAGGCAAGAAGAGGAACGGCGUAGAAGGGAGGAAGAGAUGAUGAUUCGCCAACGAGAGAUGGAAGAACAGAUGAGACGCCAAAGAGAGGAAAGUUACAGUCGAAUGGGCUACAUGGAUCCAAGAGAAAGAGACGUGAGAAUGGGUGGUGGAGGAGCAAUGAGCGUGGGAGAUCCUUAUGGUUCAGGAGGCCAGAAAUUUCCACCUCUGGGUGGUGGUGGCGGUGGCAUAGGUUAUGAAGCUAAUCCCGGAGUUCCACCAGCAACCACGAGUGGUUCCAUGAUGGGAAGCGACAUGCGUACUGAGCGCUUUGGGCAGGGAGGUGCGGGCCUGGGUGGCCAGGGUCCUAGAGGAAUGGGGCCUGGAGCUGCAGCAGGAUAUGGCCGAGGGAGGGAAGAAUAUGAAGGCCCAAACAGAAAACCCCGAUUUUAG